CUGUAGCUUUAUUCAGAGAACGUUCUGUCGUCAGGAUAACAAAACAGUCAUUAUAUAGUUCUUGCUUACUUAUGCACAUGCAUUUACAUACAAUCCGUUGGUGACCUGCAACCCCCAUAAACUUCUCACACUGUUUAUCACCUUCUGGCUAAGCCUGUUCCUUUCCUUCAAGGUUAGGAACUCUCUGAAGUUUUACUCCCUUGACCAUCUGCUUCUGUAGCUAUACUAAUUGCAUACACACAUUUCUUUCCCUCUCCAGUGGUUCCUGGACUUUCCGGAACUAAUCAGACCAAUCGAUCCCUACAUUGAUUAUUCAUUAACCAUGCUGUAUGACUAAUAUUUCAUCAUGGUUUAUUGAUUCAUUUACCUUUAUUAGAUAAUUCUCUUAUCAAUUCCACCCUUAAAUGAUUCACUAAUUCACCAUGAUGAUCACAUGCUAUAAGUAAUCACUAAUAAUCACACGCUAUAUGGAAAUACAAUAAUCACACACUAUAUGGAAAUACAAUAAUCAUACUCUAUAUGGAAAUACAUAAUUGUGAAAUCACACGCUAUAUGGAAUUUAAUUGUGAUACAAGGAUUAAACAAAACCAAUACAUUAAUUAUUCCUCCUAUACCCAUCAAUGACAGUCCUAGGCCUCUUUCCAAUUAUGACACUUCGAUUCAGGAUUUUCAUCAUAAUUUUCAUUAAAGGAACAGUCUAUCAAAACAUUGAAAAUUCAAUCAAAACGUUGAAAAUUGUUUCAUCAAACAUUGGCUCCUCGUUAUUGAAAGAGACGGAGCCAUCUUCCUGGCCUGGAGGCCCGCAUUCGCCAUUCCACUGAUCGGAGCUCGGAAUUGGUCCAUAUCUCACCAUCUGCUGCGUCAUCGAUCUCUCUAGAGUCCUGGUGAUUAAACCUCUCAUACAUGGGACGAGACAACAUCCACACAACACACUCAUACAGGUGAAAGCAGCCCAUAAUACAGUUCUUACAACACUUUUCCAUUUCCCAAACAUGGGAUGUGUUAUCAGGAAUGUACGUGUAGCGCUGAACCUAAUCAUUCUACCUACACUGCCCUCUUCUGGCAAUAACAUAUCGAGAGUCAGUCUAUUUUACCAGGUCAUGAGGGGGGUGGCGGAUAAUUGGUCAGAGAACCUCUUUACUGCAUCCCCGUUUUCAUUCAUGAAUCUCUGUUGAUUAUUAAAGAUGUCAUUAAUCCAAUCCACAUUUCUAUUUAUUGUCAACCACCAAAAUAAUGUAGUGUUAAAGCCUUCACAUAUUUGAUUCAUAGCUUUGUAUUCAUCUGGAACUUCCCUGAGGAUGCCAAUAGCAUCCAUCUUGUAAAGCUACUCCCAUCCUGGUCAAAACUCCUCCUGUGCCUACUUUAGCCUCCUAUAACUGGCCUCUGAUGACUAACUCGAACUGGUUGGACCAAUAACCCCAGGGCGCAAGUUCCUAACCACCCUUUGUGGUAAUUUCUGUCGUAUGCGUCCUUUACUUGUACUAGCCCACCCUUCAUCAGUUAUAGGUGCUGUGAGGUUAAGAAUGUUCUAUUCAUCUCUCAAACCUAAGUCAGUAACAUUAAUGAUUACUUUCAGUCAUUAAAAUCAUCUUAGUUCUCGGUGCCAUUCUUGUAUCUAUAACACUGGUGCUCAUCAGGAAUUUAGGUGAACCGAGGUGGGUUUGCUGAGUACUUCAAUCUGGCCAUCCCCAAUUCCUGUACAGUUGUCUGCUUCCCCAGGAAAUUGUUUAAUGUUUACCUUAAAUUCUACAUCUUGAUCUUCUUUGAUUCCUUAUUCUGUAUGUCACUCAUCAGUGUAUUAUAUAGUUUAUCUUCUACUUCUUCUCAAUGACAACGGUAUCCUAUGAUUAGUACCAGAAGGUGGUGGAUCUGAAUGUAUCAGAAAGGUUACCAAAACUAUGAUGCAGCUUAGAGUCUCUACUCUUCCCAAAAACCGCCAACCCUCUCCUGCCCUUAGUCUCUCUGCUAGGUACCACCCCAUACUCACACCUCUAGGAGCACACACAGUGAUGAACGGUUGGGAUAGGGAAUCUUCGUUAAGGAGGUAACCCCCAGACCUUGUUGGUUCUCGGUUCUUCUCCUAACUCUGUGUGUGAUCAUCAGUGCUCAUAUGUGUACAUACCUUCUUGCAGUGGAUAACGUGGACCCAAGUGACUCUCUCAGCUUUUCUAAUGGCAAAGGCAAUGGUUUAACAGAACCUGGUAUGGGCCUUCCCAACGGUGUUGCUUCCAGUUUUUUCUCCUCGGGGACUGGAUCCACACCCAGUCUCCUGGUUGGAUUGAAUGAAUCACCUUCUCCUGUAAUUCACCUGUUGGACACAAAAUCUUGGACAUACGGGUUUGGUUAACAAACAGUCUUCUUAUGUGCUCUGCUAGUAUUUCUUCAACUUCUAUGUCUACCUGUUCUGGUAUCUCUAACUCUGGCAUUCUAUAGGCUCUACCUGAUUUGCUAAACUGUCAUCCAUCAUUUAAAGAGAUGGCUCCUAGUAAACCAACUCUAGGGAUAAUAUCUUGACUUAAUAUUUUAGCUACCAUAAUCAUGUCCACCAAGUAAGUUGGGAACGCUUCUACCCAUUUGCUAUACUUAUCUAUUAUUGUUAAAUGCCCCUUCUUCCCCUCAAUUCGGAAUAGUUCAAUAAGUCCAAUUCCAAAUGUUGGAAUGGAUCUUCUUACAAAAUAUAUAUAUUUUUUUAAGUAAUUAUCCUCUAGGCCAUCACUCUUUCCUAACUACUCUACUAUACUUCCCUCCCCUUGAUACAUUGCUUAGCCUAUGUAUCAAUAUUGCUGCGUAUCCAUACAAUGUCUUUGGUAGGAUAAGUAAAUUAUCCUUAUGUCAGACCUUCUCUUGUAGGAUGCCCCAUUUCAUUUUCCACAUGUCCAAUUCUUCCUGGGGCCUUCAUCCUUGGCUAUCAUUUAACAAUCCUCUGUCAAGUUUCUUAUCGUCUUUAAGAUUUAUCUAUGCUGCUUUGUAUGGUUUUAAAUGUCUAUGUGCUUGUCUGUGUAAAUAGUAACUUUUCUCUCCUUUCUUAUUUCACCAGUUCUAGUCAAUGCUACUAUUUCGGCCUACUGUGCAGAAUAGUGUCUGGGCAAUGGGUCAGUGUCUAACACCUGAAACCAACUAAGCUUUCAUUGCCCUUUUAGUUAGGGUAACAAUUACUUUCAACAAAAUGAUACUAAUAUCCUCCUAGCGGAUUUACCAGACAUAAACUUAAAAUCAAAACUAAAAUACAUGCCUAUGGAGCCGAUAGUCUCUCCAUGAAUUAAUAUCCUAAAGCUAAGUGAACCAAAUUAUCUUCCUAUCUACUCCUGCUGGCCCCCCUCCUUUCUUCCUGCUACUCUCCAACCCUCAAGGUUUCAGCAGUGCAGGGGAGGAUCUCUCUGUCUGCCCUUCUAUCUGUCUCCAGCUUUUUGUCAUAAUAUGGUUGUUUCCAAAUAUUGACUAAAUGUCUCAUUGUCUCCUUGGUUGCACUCCUGAGUUUUAGAAAAAUCAACCUGUCUAGAUAUUGCAUAUCUACUUAAAUGUAUCUCGAUACCCUCAAUAAUCCUGGAUCACCUACAGAUGUCAUAUAUCCCUGUCCUGUUGACAUAAGUCUACCAUUAUUAAACUUAGUGGCAACAAAAUAUAGUAAUACUAUUAUAUCAAUCCCACAGCCUUGUUGUGUUAAAUCUCUUACACUGAAUUCAACAACAGCUGACUUCCUAAGGGAAAAUAAACGUAUCUAGAUCAUGUAAAAAAUACCCCUGCUACUGGUCAAAAUAUUUUCAAAUCACAUCAUCAGAUCAAAAUGACUAAUCUGAUUUACUCCACCACGAAAAAUUAUUUUACCCUUAUUGUUCUAGGAAGAUAGACUUAAAGAAGCCUACCCUUAGUCUAAGGCUUUGCCCUUUUAGUCUUCUCAUUGGUUCAAAUUAUCAAUUGUGUCUAAGAACUUUAACUCCAUCAUAAUUAUCAGUUCUCCAAAUUCCCUUAAAAUCAAUAUCACCAAUGACCUUAAAUUCACCAUCCAAAUGGCUUUUCAAUGUGGCUGAUCAGACCACACAGGAAAAGUCACCAGAGGGGUCAAAAGUCAUACCACCCUUUCAGAACCGUGUUUCUUACUACAUUAAACAAAUUAAAGCUAAGAACGUUAUCUACAUUUUGUAUCCCAGGUUUCCCAGAACAUUCCCUAUCAAAAGAAUUUCAGGUGUUUAUUAAAACUCAGAAAACAAGACACGCCCCAGUAUCACACAGAAAUUGUAUUAUCUCUCCCAUUACUGUUAGUGUCAAAUAGGGGUUCUGUUUUUGUUGUACUGCCAAAUCAAUUGUAGCCAAUUCAAAAACUUCACAAUCGCUGUUUAUAACUAAAUUCUGAAAAACGUCCUUCCCCUCACUAGUUAGUGUCUGCUCCCCCGCUCUCCAUAGUUAGUCAAGCCUCCUGCUCUGAGUCUGGCUGGGGGCGCCUGACCUUCUCUUUGUAUCUGUCUCUACUCCCUCUCUGGCCUUGCUUACUUCCCUCAGAUCUGCUAGCCCCCACCCUACGAGGUUCUGUUUUGUGGCACGAUUUAUCUCGGGACGCAUUCCACUGAGGAAAACAAUUUUUAAUUGCUGAUAAUAUGGGGCAUCAAAUCCAUCCACUACCGGGGGUUCUAUUAACCCACUAUUAGCGUUGGACACGUCCUUUAAUCUCUCUAGGUGUUGGUUUAUAGUCUUAUGAAAUGUCCAAGGGUUUAAAAAAAAAUAUCAUGUAUAUCACCACAAUUCUGUCGCACUUAUUAAUUUCCGCUCCUUAUAAUUCAUUAGAUUUAGGUAACUGCCUUUUCCUUGAUUCCGUCAUUCAAAUACAACUCCCAUUCUCUAUAAAUCCUUAAAACAGGCCAUUUAGACCACAAACAACGUACUUUAUCGACUCUGUCUUUCUAUUUAAACUAAACAAGCUAUCAAAACGUUCGGUUUCUAUCUUAAACAAACACUAACAACCGUAUGGUUCCAGUCAUAACAUAACAAUAAUUAAAUUCAAUUUUAGUCCCAUGGUGCAUGGGCUGGGAACUGAACCCGGGCAUGGUAGGCAAGAAUUCUACCACUGAACCACUAUUGUUCAUGUUUACAGUUUCGGUAGUUGUGUUCUACUCGGUCACUAUCUUCACAGGGUGUUUUACAGUCUCUGGCGAAAUGUCCUGUUCUAUCGCUAUUAAAACACAUCCUCUCUCCGUCUUUGUCAGCGCGUCUCCCUGUUUUUCCCCCUUCUGUCUACAGUGUCUCUAUCCACUUUUCUCAAUAAGUUUGCUAAAUCCUGUUCUCCUCUCUGUCUGCUCCUGGCUACCCAAAUCAUUGUUAGCAACGCCCUUAUCCCUGGCCCCCUCCACUCUCUUCCUAGCUUCUGCCAGCCAAACACGAGCGGUGUCAAGGCCUUCUGUGCGCUGCUUCUCUG
rnacentral:lncRNA from 1 species